CUCCCACCCUCGAUCUAGGAACGAAGUUCGCCUUGGCCACACUUAUCUUAGCGAAAUUUUAGACGAUUCUCCUAAUCUCCUCCACGCUUUCCGUUCGCCUCCACCUCAGAUCUGGGAUUGUCGUUCCUCCGCCGUCGCCUUCUUCUUCACCGCGGAAACUCCAUUAUCGCCAUUUUCGUCGAAAGCAGUCUGCAGCCACGCCGUAACGCCACCACGCAGAGUUGCCACCAGCCUGGUACGCCACGUCUACCCGGAGUCGCCACCAGCCACGCUGACUCGCCGCUCUGUCGCCGUCGACUCCAGAUCUGCUGCCAACGCCAUUGCCUCCGCCGCCGCGUUUGAGGAGAGCCGCUGCCAUCACCGCCAUUGUCGUCAACUCCCAGAGCUGCCGACGCCGCCAUUGCUUCAGAUCUGCUGCCGACGCCAUUGCUCACCGGUCUCCGCCGCUCACUACCGCCGCUGCUGAGACGGUGACAUUAGGGAAGGAACACAGAGGGUAGGAUUAAAGGUGGUCACACUCGAUGGCCAUGAAGGGCUUUUUGCUUCCAACAAAAUCUCCACGUGAAGAGUUUGAUAUUUGUUAAUCUGAAUGUGAUUUCUUUUUUUCUCUCUUUUUGUUAGAUAGAAUGCAUGAAUUAUAAUUAAUUUCUUUAGGAUUACUAGUUAAUGAUUUGACCGACUAGUGCUUGUUCUAACUAGAUUUGGAGCUUGUAGGAGACUUCAAAUUUGCUAUACUGAUUUGAGUUGGUGAAUUUCAGUUAUCUAUCACCAUUUGCAAAUGAGGGGUUGUGUUUGAGAGAUCAGAUGGUGUACAGAAUCACUUCAUCUGAUGAUAUCUCAGGUUGAAGAGGUCAAAACAUGGUUUGAGGAGAGACUGAUAGCUUAAAUGGUACUGUGAUGUCAUUAUGAAAGAGGCAAACAUGACUUGCAUUUCAUUCAGUUUGUGUCUUUUGGACUUAAUGUUUUAUAUAACUUAAUCUGGAGUUUGCAAACUGCAGAUGAACUUUUUUUGACUACUUGCAGUGAUGAAAUAAUUUAGACAUUGCUUCAAAAGCUUGCAGUUACAGAUCCUCCUUUCACUUUGACGGUUUGACCCCACUUUAGCCACUAAAUAUAGAUUGUUUCUUGCACAAUCACUUUCUAACUGUCAUAUUUCAGAUUUAGAAGUAUAACUGUAGUGUCAGAUGGCUAGAUAAUUUGCUGUAAACAUGUAAAAUACUGUAGAAGUAACUUCAUCGCAUCUAUUCUAAAUCCUUAGAACGUUACAUGCUGUGAUAAUCUCAUUCUGUUUAGUUACAUGUUUUCAGAUAGUGGUAUAUUUGUUUUAAGGGAGAAAUUCAUGCGCUUGCCUCUAAAGAUGGAGGCUCUAGAAGUUGUUCUUUCUCAAGCACUUGGCCAAGCAAGGCCUAUUACUGAUUUUCUACAUGAGAAUGAAAACCAUAGAGUGAAGGGCACGGUAAAUCUUAACAAGGGAGUUGGAACUUGGAAGCUGUGGGUCUUCGUUUAAAUAAGAGACCACCUCAGUUGUGUUGAACGGAUACUGCAGUUGUGUUGAAAGGAAACUGCAGUUGCACAGAACUUUUUGGGCUUCCAGAUGACCUCAAUGCAAGCCUUUUCAGGAUUUUCAUUCUUCUUUGUCAUCCAUAAAUUGCGGCCAGAACUUUUGUAUCUCCUAAAGCAGUCCAGUACAAAACAAUUCGACUUAUCAAUUCCACACUAAACCCAACAAAAAUAAACAACCAUAUGAACAGAGGAAUCUUGUCAAGGAUCCCCACAUGCAAAGCAUGGUAAGCCUUGCAGAAAAUGGUCAUCAUGUUUGUGACAAAUGUUCAUUGCUACCACAAAAAACGUUAACCAGUUUAAAGUUCAUUACAUUUUAUAUGAAUUGCA